GCCAGCGGCCAUAGCACGUUGAAUACACCAAUUCCCAAUGGUUCACCGGAGUUAAGUAACGUUUGCGUGGUUGAUGUCCGGAUGGGUGACCAUCUGAGUGUAGUGCUGUUGACU
rfam:Asian citrus Psyllid, Diaphorina citri - Florida Strain, whole genome shotgun sequence.